GCCAAUGUUACAGAGAAAAGCUUAUUUGAAGACAACAUCAAUCACACAUUUUAUGAGUCAGAGUGAGACUUGCCUGUUCAUGACUCAAGGAGAAAACUAAAAAAAGUGUGAUGUUUUGCGGCAAGUAGUUAUUUGUAAGGAGGAGGAGGUGUGGAAAGUGCAUUUACUGUUAUUUUGAGUGUAAAUUAUUGACAGUUUGUUGAACUCAUGAUGGUGGAAGUAGGCAAGAAUCAAAAUAUAAGUUUAUUUCACAGAAUAGAUUUACCGAAGCUCCAUAGGAAUGCACAUGGUCAACGUAAUUAAUUAUUAACUUGAUACAUAAAUGAUACUACUACAAUGGUCACAUGAAAAUGUCAUGUGACAAAAUUUACCAUUCAGUAUGAAUUAAUGUUUAUCUCAAUACAGCUAGAUGGCUAUACCAAGUUACUGUGAAAACUCAAAUAAACUAGAUGACAAAUAAAAUGACAAAAAAGA